CCUACGGGUGGCUGCAGUGGGGAAUAUUGGACAAUGGGCGAAAGCCUGAUCCAGCCAUGCCGCGUGUGUGAAGAAGGCCUUCGGGUUGUAAAGCACUUUCAGUGGGGAAGAAAGCCUUGGGGCUAAUACCCUCGAGGAAGGACAUCACCCACAGAAGAAGCACCGGCUAACUCCGUGCCAGCAGCCGCGGUAAUACGGAGGGUGCGAGCGUUAAUCGGAAUUACUGGGCGUAAAGCGCGCGUAGGCGGCCUGAUAAGCCGGUUGUGAAAGCCCCGGGCUCAACCUGGGAACGGCAUCCGGAACUGUCAGGCUAGAGUGCAGGAGAGGAAGGUAGAAUUCCCGGUGUAGCGGUGAAAUGCGUAGAGAUCGGGAGGAAUACCAGUGGCGAAGGCGGCCUCCUGGACUGACACUGACGCUGAGGUGCGAAAGCGUGGGUAGCAAACAGGAUUAGAUACCCCGGUAGUC
rnacentral:rRNA from 1 species